rnacentral:rRNA from 1 species
AUGAUGGAUAGGCCGAGUACUUCUACCAACCCACUCUUCGGUGCACAACGAGCGUUGCAUCAAGAGCAACAAGCAAUGAACGACCGCAUCGACAAUCUCGCCACCGACUUGCGACUCUCCGAACAACGUACAAGAGACUACUUCGACAACAAGCUCGACGCGCACAAGCAAGAGAACGAUGCAAGAAUGGACGAGAUCUGCGCCUUGUUGGUGAACCGUCCUCCUUCUACAUCCUCAUACUUAAGAUGGAGCCACUCAAGUCAACACUGCGACGACUCCUUCUCCGGCUCAAGUACACCGUCAUCGAACACUCUUCGACGAGCUGCGCGUCAAGACCGUCAUGCAUCUCGCAACCCGCUACACGUCAAGCAUUCACAAGAGCAAGUCGAUGAGCAAUUCUCUCGUCCUCACUCAAACCAAGACGCUUUUGCUCAAGCUCAAGAACGACAACGUCUUCGUCACCAAGAAGAAGAAGAACGAGUGCGUCUACACCAAGAGCAACAAGACGCCGAGGCUCAACGUCUUCAAUAA